rnacentral:tRNA from 1 species
GAAGCUUUAACUUAAUUAAAGCAUCUGUUUUGCAUGCAGAAGAUGUGGGCUAGUACCCCGUAAGUUUUA